AAACAAGAGCAGUUGCUAUUCAAGAUGAGAGGAUUCCUGAUACUGCUCAGCGUUCUGCUGGUGCUGGAGGCAACAGAGAGAAACAAGACUUAUGAACAACUAAACCGAGAAACUCGAGGAAUUGUUGACAAGGCUAUAGAAAAAGCCAAUGAGGAACUUGGAAAACAGCAACACCUUGAUUAUUCUUCCAUUUUACAAGCUAAUGAUGGAAAACGCAUGCUGCAUGUGUUAUUAAAACCCACCUCAUGUGAGAAGAAAACUCCAGCCGUUCAUCAGGGAAACUGUAAAAUCAGGGAAAAGGCUAAGCCUCAGGUGUCUUGUGUUGCCUGUCAUGAAGACAUUAAUUGUUUCUUUCUCAGAGAGCAUGAAAAGUCAAGAGAAGCUGUACGUAAUUGUUUAGGACUGAAUGUUUAUCAUCCCGGUAGAGGAAAUUUUAUGUCCCUGAUAGGAGGAAAUGCGCAAAAAACUGGAUGUCUUGGUUGUGUCUGAGAAGAAAAAGUUCAAGGAUUUUUGCAAGUGACUGUAUAAAUUAAAAAGAGUAAUAAUAAUACUAAUGAAAUAUAACUUCUAAAACAUACCCCUUAAGCCAAGCUUCUUUCCUGGGUAACAUAUUUUAAAAUGCAAGUACAUCAAUGAGUGAUAAUGAAAGCCGCCUCCUGUAACCCAGCAACUUUAAUCUCCUUACUUUGUGCACCACUUCCCUUUAAACAUUUUUCUUUAGUUAAAAAUAAUCCAGUUGUUAAACAUUCAUUGAGGAUUUGCUUUCACUUUCGUUCUGCUCUACACCUGAAAGACCUUUCUACUAUUGCUCAAGUUUUUCGCAUUACACCUUUUUGUCCUCUUUAAUGGACAGAGCCUUUAAUAUCUGGAGGUAACAUUGACUAAUUACAGUUGAUCAGUUAUUCAUAGAUGAUCAUUUUGCAUCUUUUACUCAACUUUAGGAAAAAUUCGACCUACCCAAUUAUUAUUUAUGUAGAUGCUUUCAGUUACAGAACUUUAUCCAUAAGGGUUUUUUUUUAAAAUAUUUACUAUUAUUAUUAAAACAGUCCCCUUUAACACAUGUACUGAGGGCUUUUUGGGAGGAGGAACUGAAUUUAACAAUUGAUUAAACUUGCCAUCGCACCAGCCACACUGUUACAUAUGUUCUAGUCUUGUUUGAACCUGACUGUUAUUCGGGGGAAAGUCUUUAGGUGUUUUUCUGAUUUCUUUUCAUUGUCAAUAGACCCAAACCCCCUUAACAGCACUGUUUGAAAUCCUGCCAGAAUGUUGAGUUAAAUUCAUUACAGGCCGAUAGUGUAGCCUUUGCAGUCUUACUGGCUAGAUGACUUAUUCUUAUGAAUUUAAAGUCAGCAGCUACCCUUUCUUAUCGGCAAUGGGUUUUUGAUUUCUUACAUGCUCUUCAAAUGGAAAAGAUUCAGUUCACAAUAACGUCACCUUGAAAUUGGAAUUGGUUCUAUCUGCAUUCUGAAUGAUUUUGAGAUAUUGAGCUUCAAAGUUUUUGCAUUCCAUAGCAAAUGGUAUGUGUGUAACUUUUGGUUUUAUAAUAAUGUUAAAACAUACUUAACUUAAA